rnacentral:tRNA from 1 species
GAAAAAAUAGUUUAAGUAAAAAUGAUAGCUUGUGGAGCUAUAGAUGAUAGGUUUAUCUUUUUUCU